AUUGAACGCUGGCGGCAGGCCUAACACAUGCAAGUCGAGCGGAGCGGCGGACGGGUGGGUAAUGCCUAGGAAUCUGCCUGGUAGUGGGGGAUAACGUCCGGCAACGGGCGCUAAUACCGCAUACUAUCAGAUGAGCCUAGGUCGGACUGGCUAGUUGGUGGGGUAAAGGCCUACCGAGGCGACGAUCCGUAACUGGUCUGAGAGGAUGAUCAGUCACACUGGAACUGAGACACGGUCCAGACGCCUACGGGAGGCAGCGGUGGGGAAUAUUGGACAAUGGGCGAAAGCCUGAUACAGCCAUGCCGCGUGGGUGAAGAAGGUCUUAGGAUUGUAAAGCACUAUAAGUUGGGAGGCGUUACCAACAGAAUAAGCACCGGCUAACUUCGUGCCAGCAGCCGCGGUAAUUC
rnacentral:rRNA from 1 species